CGAAAUAUUAAUUUCUGUUCCAAAGAAGUAGAUUCUGUUCAUCUGGACGUAACAUUUUCAGUGGGAGAAAACAUUACAGCCUUUAUGCUUUAAUAAAAAAACCCAAAAUGAUGUUUUACAAUUUUACAAGAUUUUUACAGGUGCACCAUCCAAAGUGGGACUGAUGCCACAUCUCCUCACAUGACCUAGUGAAAGAGAGAACAACUGGCAGUCACCAGUAGUUUUCAAGUUGAAGUUGAAAACAGUCCUCAGGAGCACAAUGGUAUCAGCAGCCCCUGCAGAGAGAAAACAGCAGAAAACUAUCAUUAAGAUAAAUCCAUCCAAACCAAGGUCAUGUGGUAGAUGUGAGCGGUGAAAUGUUUCACAUUACUGCCCCGACACCUCCACCCUCCAAACAAGGCCUGAUAGCUUGCUUGGAGAUGAAAUACCAGUUUGGUGGCAUGUAACAAGGCUCCAAAUGCUUUCCGUGUGACCGCCGACAGGUCUUGUACACAACAGCCGCUCUAUCACAUGACACAUACUGCUCCAACAUGAUAAGGGGACCACCUGGGUUACACCAUGUCGCAAGUUUUGUGAUAUUUGAUGGAUUGGGUUACAUUUUUAAUUUCUACCCAAUAUCCGAUCCAGUAAUUUAGGUCAGGAUCACACUGAUACCAAUACUGUAUUUUAGAUCCGUCCAUCCCUAGUUGAACCGUGAAACAUUAAGAGGCAGCUGCAUGUCUAACACUGGACAUCAGCUGCCUCACCUUGGUGUAAUUUGCCCUCUGAUGAAUCAGCUACCUGUCACCUUCAUUUUUUCGUCAGUGAGGACCAAUCAGAGUCUGGCACCU